CCGCCUCUCCCGCGCACCGCGGCAGGCGGGCCGGGCGGGGCUGCGCGCUAGCAGCAGACUGAGCUUUCUGCUAUCGCGAGAGUUGGGCGGCACGCGCGGCCGUCGCUCUGGCAACCCGCUCCGCCCACCUGCUCCCGUGUGACUGCGCAACGCGCAGCGGCUCUUGUCCCUCUCGGCGACCCGUCGGCAGCGAUGCAGUUGCCAUAGUGACCUCCCUCGAGCUCUCUCUCCCCGCCCGUUGCUCGGCUGCUGGGCGGCUUCGUCCCGAUCCCGCGCAGUUCGGAGGUCGGGACGCACCCCGAGCCGCCAGCGGUGCCCCGCUGGAGGAUGGAAAGCGAGGGCGACAGUUGUUCGUGGGGAAGGAGAGAAGACCCUGAGGUCGUCCACGAGGGUUCAAGUCCAGGUUGCCGGAAUGCCUCGUCCAGGUGGCGUGCGGACACCAGCACUGCGCCUUCCCGCUGAAUCGCAACGAGCUGUGCGUCUGCAAUACAGCUGGCAGCCCUGCUGCACAGGGUUGACACCUCAAGGAAUUAUUAUUGGAACUCUUCUGAGAUUGGUUCUUCAUGUAAGAUUUAGUCCAGAUGAUCAACAGGUGGCAGUAUGUGCUGGAAAUCGAAUCUACAUGUUAAGUGCAAAGAAUGAAGCCAUAGAAGUUAAAUUGAAUGGCCACCUGGCUCCAGUGACUGCUGCUGAGUUUUGCACGUGGGAGAAAAAUAUGCUUCUAUUGGUGUCUGAAGACAGAAGCUUCAAG